rnacentral:rRNA from 1 species
UACGGAAGGUGCAAGCGUUAUCCGGUUUUAUUGGGUUUAAAGGGUGCGUAGGCGGCUUAUUAAGUCAGUUGUGAAAUCCUAGCGCUUAACGUUAGAACUGCGAUUGAUACUAAUAGGCUUGAGUCAAGAAGAGGUAGGUAGAAUUUAUGGUGUAGUAGUGAAAUGCUUAGAUAUCAUAAGGAAUACCAAUAGCGUAGGCAGCUUACUGGUCUUGAACUGACGCUGAGGCACGAAAGCGUGGGGAGCAAACAGG